GUUAGGAAUUUUGGGCAAUGGGCGAAAGCCUGACCCAGCAACGCCGCGUGGGUGACGAAGGCCUUCGGGUUGUAAAGCCCUUUUCCAGGGGAAGAUAGUGACGGUACCCUGGGAAUAAGCCCCGGCUAACUACGUGCCAGCAGCCGCGGUAAUACGUAGGGGGCAAGCGUUGUCCGGAUUUAUUGGGCGUAAAGGGCUCGCAGGCGGCCUGACUAAGUCAUGCGUGAAAUCUCCCGGCUCAACUGGGAGCGGUCGUGUGAUACUAGUCGGCUUGAGGCCGGUAGGGGAGAGCAGAAUUCCCGGUGUAGUGGUGGAAUGCGUAGAUAUCGGGAGGAAUACCAGAGGCGAAGGCGGCUCUCUGGACCGGUCCUGACGCUCAGGAGCGAAAGCGUGGGUAGCGAUCCGGAUUAGAUACCCCAGUAGUCC
rnacentral:rRNA from 1 species